rnacentral:rRNA from 1 species
AACGAACGCUGGCGGUAUGCUUUACACAUGCAAGUCGAACGGGUAAGAGCCGUAGCAAUACGGAAUUCUGCUAGUGGCAAACGGGUGAGUAACGCGUGGGAACCUACCUUAUAGUACGGAAUAGCCCCGGGAAACUGGGAUUAAUACCGUAUACGCUCUUCGGAGGAAAGAUUUAUCGCUAUAAGAUGGGCCCGCGUUAGAUUAGCUAGUUGGUGAGGUAAUGGCUCACCAAGGCGACGAUCUAUAGCUGGUUUGAGAGGAUGAUCAGCCACACUGGAGCUGAGACACGGUCCAGCAUUCUACGGGAGGCAGCGGUGGGGAAUAUUGGACAAUGGGCGAAAGCCUGAUCCAGCAAUACCGCGUGAGUGAUGAAGGCCUUAGGGUUGUAAAACUCUUUCAGUAGGGAAGAUAAUGACGGUACCUGCAGAAGAAGCACCGGCUAACUCCGUGCCAGCAGCCGCGGUAA